rnacentral:tRNA from 1 species
GACCCGGUAGCUCAGGCGGUAGAGCAACUGACUUUUAAUCAGUGGGUCGGGAGUUCGAUUCUCCCCCGGGUCACCA